CCUACGGGAGGCAGCAGUGGGGAAUCUUGGACAAUGGAGGAAACUCUGAUCCAGCGAUGCCGCGUGAGUGAUGAAGGCCUUCGGGUUGUAAAACUCUUUUACCAGGGAAGCUGUACCUGGAGAAUAAGCCCCGGCUAACUUCGUGCCAGCAGCCGCGGUAAUACGAAGGGGGCUAGCGUUGUUCGGAAUUACUGGGCGUAAAGCGUGCGCAGGCGGUUUUUCAAGUCAGGGGUGAAAGCCCAGAGCUCAACUCUGGAAUUGCCUUUGAAACUGACGAACUAGAGUACGAGAGAGGUGAGUGGAAUUCCCAGUGUAGAGGUGAAAUUCGUAGAUAUUGGGAAGAACACCGGUGGCGAAGGCGGCUCACUGGCUCGACUGACGCUCAGGCACGACAGCGUGGGGAUCAAACAGGAUUAGAUACCCUUGUAGUC
rnacentral:rRNA from 1 species